UAUUGGUCUUACAUUCUGCACAGGGGCAUAACAAAUGUCUAUUCUGGGGCCCAGGCUUUAGGGAGUUCAGGAUUUUGUAAGAACACAUAUCCACACACCAUAAACAUACACUUAUUAAAGGAUAUGUGUGCUCUGAUGUUAUUCAGAAUCAAGGACUUAGCAGGGGUAGAGUCUGAGUCAUAACUCCAAAUGUUCCCUGCCAUAGCCAACAACAUUCCAGAAACCCGGGGGACAACCCUUCUCUAGGAGUUUUGCCCUAUGGCCUAGAAAUAAAAGACAACUGUGCUUCCAUAGCAUGAAAAUGUUUUGCAUGGAUAAAUAUGAAGAUGAACACUGCUUCGGAAAGCAAGCAGAAUCUGAACAGUAGAAACACACAGAAUGAAUCAUCGGAUUCUUUUUCACUUAUUUUCUUCCCUAUUGGACCAGAUAUCUUCUUUUUGCCCUUCCGUAAAGACUUCCCACCCAUCUCCCUGCUGCUCUUUGCCAUCGCAGGCUAACCUGUUUUGGAAGGAUUUGAAAACUUAUUCCCACACAAAAUGUUUCACGUGGAUAUUCAUGGUUGUCAAACUUAGAAGCGACCACGAAGUCUGCCAGUAUAAAUAAAUUAGGGUACAUCCAAAUAAUGCGAUAUUAUUCAGCACUAAAAAAGAAAUGAGCUAUCAAGCCAUGAAAAGAAAUGGAGGAAACUUAAGUGUACAUUACUAAGUAAAAGAACUCAGCUGAAAAAGGCUACCUACUAUAUGAUUCCACCUACGUGACAUUCUGGAAAAAGCAAAGCUAUGGAGACAAUAAAAGAAUUCAUGGCUGUCAAGAUAUAGAGAGGAAGGAAGGAUAAAAAGGCAGAGCACCGAGGAUGUUUUGAGGCAGUGAAAAUACUCUGUAUGAGGUUAUAAUAGUGGAUACAGGGAAUUAUACGUAUGUCCAUACCACAGAAUGCACAAAUCCAAGAGUGAACCAUAUGAAAACCAAGAGCUUUGGGUGAUAAUGAUGUCAGUGUGGGAUUAUCAAUUGUAAUAAAUGUACCACUCUGGUGGGCGAUGUUGAUAAUGUAAGAGGCUAUGCUUGUGUGGGGCAGGGGUAUAUGGGUUAUCUCUGCUUCUUAUGCUCAAUUUUGCUGUGAAUCUAAAACUGCUCUAAAAAAAUUAAGCCUUUAAAAUAAAUUAACAACAAUAACAACAACAAACACAUAUAAAAACAAAGGAAAUCUAAAGGAUGGAGUGAGAGAUUUUUCUAUCAGCAAUGAGGGUAACUAGGCAUUCUUGGUAAUGUAUUGGCCCCCUAAGGGUAUCUAUGCCCUAAUCUCCAGACCCUGUGACUACAUGACAAGAGGGGAUUACAGUUACUAAUCAGCUGCCUUUAAAUUUAAAUUUUCCUGGGUUAUCAGUGUGAGUUUAAUGUAAUCACAAGGGUUUACAUGUAGAAAAGGAAGGUUGAAGAGUCAGUGUAGGAGAGAGGUUUGGGGACACUGCACAGCUGGUUUUGAAGACGGAGGAAAGGGCUAUAAGCCAAGGAACCUAAGCAGCCUCUAGAAGCUGA
rnacentral:lncRNA from 1 species